UAGACUGUCUCUCUAGGAAAACUUUGCUCUAACUUCUCUCUAAAAUAUAUACAGCAAUGGUAACUAUGCAAACAAAGGAACCUCGUCCCCCCGAUCCACCUACUGCAUCCAAAGAAAACCUAGCAGCAACCCAAUCUCUACCACAACCCACCACCCACCACCCCACCUCAGCAAACAGUCACUGGACACCCACCACUCACAGCCCUCUUCUUUCGAUCUCUACCGGAGAACCCAAUACCAAAACACAACUCCCUCAAAAUCAACCCUAAGUAUCCUCCUUUGAUAGGCAAAUACAAAAAUCAGAUUUAAAAAAAAAAGAAACCAUAGUCUAUCAACAACAUGAAGAGUUCUGUCAAAACAUUGAGCACAAAAGAGAUACCACCCAAAUUCAAGACAGUUAUGACACACAAAUGAAGGCUACAAUUCAGGAUGGGAAACAAGGAAUUCCAUUGUGUAAUAGAGGAAAUGAACAGUCGGUUUCUACACCAACGUUCGCAGCAAAGGUUCAAGCCAAGUUAUUCAACGUCAAUGACAAAACACAGCAAGUUAGUAUUCGGCGUGGAACUCAUUUAGGUUCUGAUCAUUCCUCUUUGUUCAUUACGACAUCCAAUCAUACAACGGAUCAUAUCAAAGUGUUGUUGAAUGUGCCUGGAACAUUGAAGUAAUUGGUACACCCUUAUGGAAAUUUCAUCUCAAGCUUAAGAAUGUUUCUAAAGCCUUAUCUGAUUGGUCAAGAAACGCGGUUGGGAACAUUUUCAAUACUAUUAAAGCUUUAGAAAAAAGAGUGGCAAAUAUGGAGGCUAAGUCAAUCAUUGAUAAUUUCGAAUUUAACAGAACAACUCUUAAUUAUGCCAAUGCUGAGCUUGUUCUUGCUUACAAAAAAGAAGAAUCCUUCGGGAGACAAAAAUCCGGCAUAAAGUGGUUUGUAGAAGGUGAAGUCAAUUCCAUGUUCUUUCACCCUAUGGUUAAAGGCAAAAAAAGACGACUUAACCUGACUACUAUUAAAGAUGAUCAAGGUAAGUGGAUAGUCCGAGAAGACAAUAUUGUUGAAGAGGCCAUAAAAUUCUUUAAACAACAAUUCUCUAAAAAAGACACUGUCAAGAAUAGUAAAAUCAUGGAGUGUAUUCCAAAGUUGAUCACUGAGGAAGAUAACAUCAAUCUGAUUUCUCCUACUUCAUUGGAUGAAUUGAAAGACAUCGUAUUUUCCAUGAGCACUCAAAGUGCACCAGGACCAGACGGAGUCUCAGGUAAGUUUUACCAUUCUUGUUGGAAUAUUAUUACACAUGAUUUGCUCAUGAUGGUACUUGAUUUCUUUGUUGGUACCCCUCUUCCUCGAUCUCUUAGUCACUCUUGUCUAGUUUUAAUUCCUAAGGUUAAAACCCAUCAACAGUUCACUGAUCGUAGACCGAUUAGCCUUAGUAAUUUUUCUAGCAAGAUUAUCUCUAAAUUGCUUAAUCAAAGAUUGUCCCCCCAUAUGAAUAAAAUUAUCUCUCCUUAUCAUACAUGUUUUAUUAAAGGUAGGUCUAUCUCCGACAACAUCUUAUUAACUCAAGAAUUGGUUUAUAAUAUUAAUCAGUCUCCUAAUUUAGGCAAUUUGGUUAUAAAAUUUUAUUAUGACCAAGGCCUACGAUAGAGUAAAUUGGGAUUUUCUGUCUUAUGCUAAGAAAAAUGGGCUUCUCUGACAUUUGGAUUGAUAGAAUUUGGAGACUCCUUUCUAACAAUUGGUAUUCUAUAAAUCUCAAUGAUGGAAGACAUGGCUUUUUCAAAUCUAGUCGUGGAUUAAAACAAGGUGAUCCCUUUUCCCCAUCUCUUUUUGUUAUCUGUGCUGAGUUGUUAUCUAGAUUGUUAACCAUUCUCCCUAAUGAUGGCUUUAUUCCUUACUCUGCGCAUAAAAAAGACCUUUGAUUACCCAUCUUUGUUAUGUCGAUGAUACCAUUCUUUUUUCUUCUGGAGACCAACCAUCUUUUAAUAUGAUGAUGAACAGGCUCAACAUGUACGAAAAAGUAUCUGGUCAGCUUAUUAAUAAAAAUAAAUCUGGUUUUCUUUUAUUGGCUAAUUUUCCUCUUGAUUAUAUUCAUGAUGUGGAGAAUGUCACGGGGUUCUCUCAAUUAAAAUUUCCUUUUCAAUAUUUGGGGUGCCCCAUUUACAGAAGAAAGAAAAAAAUUGUUUACUUCAACAACAUGGUUGCAAAAGUUUCUCACAAGCUUCAAGGAUGGCUAGGUAAUUUUCUAUCUUAGGUGGCAAAGCUACCCUUAUCAAGUCUAUUUUAUAUUCCCUUCCUCUCCACCUACUGUCGGUUUUAUAUCCUCCUAAAGGUGUCUUAAAUCAAAUUGAGAAGAUCUUUAAUAAUUUUUUGGGGGGCUUUGAGCAUAAUAAGAAACAACAUCAUUGAAAAGCUUGGCAUGAUCUUUGUUACCCUAAUGUAGAAGGUGGUGUUGAUUUCAGGUCAUUAAGAGAUUUUUGUAACAUCUUUUCUGCAAAGAUUUGGUGAAAUUUCAGAACUAAACAUAGUCUCUUAAGACAUUUUCUUCAGGCUAAAUAUUGCAAGAGAAAACAUCCGGUCAUGAGAAAAUGGUCUUAUAGCCAAUCUCAAAAUUGGAACUUAUGGAUGUGAAAAUUCAGGCUGAACAAUCCAUCUUGUGAAAGAUCGCAAAAGGUAAUGUUUACUUUUGGUGGGAUAACUGGACAGGUAAAGGAGCCUUGGCUAAACUCAUUAAUUUUGAUAACGCUCCUAGAAGCAUCAAAGUGAAUGAUUUUUUUUACUAAUACAGGUUGGAAUAUUUCUAGCCUUAAUGAUGAACACCCUAGCAACAUCACUAGUGAUAUUAAGGAUAUACAAAUUCAUCCUAAUAAGAAUUAUUGGCCUAUUUGGACUGUUGAGUCUACAGGUGUUUUUUCUUGUAAAAGUACAUGGCAUUUUAUGAGAGCUCACAAGGCUCAUUCUUUCACCUCUUCUAUCAUUUGGCACAAUAAAAUUCUGCUCAAGAUUUCAUUCUUUAUGCUUAGAAUGAUGGAAAAUAAAAUUCCUACAAAUAUGGCUCUAAGAAAACUAAAAUUCCUAUCUCGUCUAUGUGUUCUUGCUGCAAUAUUCAUGUAGAGGAAACUACUAUGCAUUUCUUUGGUAGGAGUGAAACUGCUACUCAAGUUUGGUCUUAUUUUUUUUUGAGUUGUGGCAUCCCUCUUCAAUUUUGCAACAUUAGACAAAUUGUCAUGUCUUGGUGGCUUUCUAAAACUAAGAAUAAGAUUCACAAAGCUUUUAUACAAUGUUUGCCUGCUAUAAUUAGUUGGUAAAUUUGGAAAAACAAAUGUAGUGCUAAAUUUGAUAAUACUAAGAUGUCGGCUACUAUAUUAUUAAAUAGGUCAUCAAAACAAUGCAUAUGCUUAUCAACAGUCUUUUUCCCAUCUUUAGCACUUAUCUUGAAUGGCGCAAACUCUGUAGUAAUAUUGAAACAACUAAGCAGGUGAUCAAGAUCAAGAUAGUUCUACGGAAGAAACCAGAUAGUGGUUCGCAUAAACUCAACACAGAUGCUUACAACAAAGGUAAUCCAGGUGGUGCUGGAGGAGGUGGAAUCAUUAGAAACAGUGAUAUGGAAGUUUCAAGCUUGCAUAUACAUAAAAUUACGGAGUGUGUAGCAAUAAUGUAGCUGAAGUAAGUGUUAUUCUUCGAGGUGUAAAAAUAUGCUCUAUAAUGGGUCUCAUAAACGUGAUUGUGAAAGUUGACUCCCAACUCAUUAUCAACAUGAUUAAUCACAAAAUGAAGAGUUUUUGGGAGAUUUUCAUGUUAUUGAUCAGAUCAACCAACUCUGCAGUGGAAAAAACUUUCUUUUGUGCAUUCCUACAGAGAGGACAGUAUAAUAGCCGAUCACUUGGCAAAUUUGGGAGAAUAUACUAAUGAGAAUCUCAUAAUAGAAAACCUUAGUUUGCUCCCUCCAUCUAUCAGAGCUUUUUUGAGUUUGGAUCAACAAGAAAUUCUUAACUUCAGGUUUAAACAAAGAAAUAAUCAUUUUGUGAAUAAUGAUGUUGUCCUUGGAUAGUUAUGUAUAGUUUACCUCUUCUUUUUCUUGUUCUGGAGGCUAUGGUCUAUGUCCUCCUCCAUGUACUCAUUUUCUUCUUUAAUUUAUAGGUUGGGGUCAAUGUCUAAACCCCCAAGUUAAAUUGUUUUUUUUAAAAAAAAAAUCGCACAUUGGUGGAUCUUUUAAUUCUCUAAUUGUUAUGAUUGUAUUUUUUAUUUCUUAAGUCUUAAAUUGAGAAUUUAUGA